rnacentral:rRNA from 1 species
GACGAACGCUGGCGGCGUGCUUAACACAUGCAAGUCGAACGGUGACGAAUGGAGCUUGCUCUGUUCUGAUCAGUGGCGAACGGGUGAGUAACACGUGAGUAACCUGCCCCAGACUCUGGAAUAAGCGCUGGAAACGGCGUCUAAUACCGGAUACGAAGUAGAGCUGCAUGGCUGCUACUUGGAAAGUUUUUCGGUUUGGGAUGGACUCGCGGCCUAUCAGCUUGUUGGUGAGGUAAUGGCUCACCAAGGCGACGACGGGUAGCCGGCCUGAGAGGGCGACCGGCCACACUGGGACUGAGACACGGCCCAGACUCCUACGGGAGGCAGCAGUGGGGAAUAUUGCACAAUGGGCGAAAGCCUGAUGCAGCGACGCCGCGUGAGGGAUGACGGCCUUCGGGUUGUAAACCUCUUUCAGCAGGGAAGAAGCGCAAGUGACGGUACCUGCAGAAGAAGCACCGGCUAACUACGUGCCAGCCGCCGCCGUAA